rnacentral:rRNA from 1 species
CCUACGGGUGGCAGCAGUGGGGGAUAUUGUACAAUGGGGGAAACCCUGAUGCAGCGACGCCGCGUGUGGGAAGACGGUCCUCUGGAUUGUAAACCACUGUCCCCAGGGACGAAGAUGACGGUACCCGGUGAGGUAGCUCCGGCAAACUACGUGCCAGCAGCCGCGGUAAUACGUAGGGAGCGAGCUUUGUUCGGAAUUACGGGGUGUAAAGGGAGCGUAGGCGGGACUGCAAGUUGGGUGGCAAAUCCACCGGCUCAACCGGUAGCCGCACUCAAAACUGCAGUUCUUGAGUGAAGUAGAGGCAGGCGGAAUUCCUAGUGUAGCGGUGAAAUGCGUAGAUAUUAGGAGGAACACCAGUGGCGAAGGCGGCCUGCUGGGCUUUUACUGACGCUGAGGCUCGAAAGUGUGGGGAGUAAACAGGAUUAGAUACCCUUGUAGUC